AUUGAACGCUGGCGGCAUGCCUUACACAUGCAAGUCGAACGGCAGCACGGGAGCUUGCUCCUGGUGGCGAGUGGCGAACGGGUGAGUAAUACAUCGGAACGUACCCUGAAGUGGGGGAUAACGUAGCGAAAGUUACGCUAAUACCGCACAUUCUGUGAGCAGGAAAGAGGGGGAUCGCAAGACCUCUUGCUUUAGGAGCGGCCGAUGUCGGAUUAGCUAGUUGGUGAGGUAAAGGCUCACCAAGGCGACGAUCCGUAGCGGGUCUGAGAGGAUGAUCCGCCGCACUGGGACUGAGACACGGCCCAGACUCCUACGGGAGGCAGCAGUGGGGAAUUUUGGACAAUGGGCGCAAGCCUGAUCCAGCCAUGCCGCGUGAGUGAAGAAGGCCUU
rnacentral:rRNA from 1 species